rnacentral:rRNA from 1 species
GUGAGGAAUUUUCCGCAAUGGGCGAAAGCCUGACGGAGCAAUGCCGCGUGAAGGAUGAAGGCCUAUGGGUUGUAAACUUCUUUUCUCAGAAAAGAAUUAUGACGGUAUCUGAGGAAUAAGCAUCGGCUAACUCUGUGCCAGCAGCCGCGGUAAGACAGAGGAUGCAAGCGUUAUCCGGAACGAUUGGGCGUAAAGCGUCUGUAGGUUGUUUAAAAAGUAUUCUGUCAAAGAUUAGGGCUUAACCCUAGAUAGGCAGAAUAAACUUUUAAGCUAGAGUUUGGUAGAGGCAGAGGGAAUUCCCGGUGGAGCGGUGAAAUGCGUAGAUAUCGGGAGGAACACCAAAGGCGAAGGCACUCUGCUGGGCCAAUACUAACACUGAGAGACGAAAGCGAGGGGAGCAAAUGGGAUUAGAUACCCUUGUAGUCC